rnacentral:rRNA from 1 species
GCAUAUCAUAAGCCCGAGAGAUA